AAAAGGCUUGCUGCCUGAAGAUGAGCUCGCGUCUGAUUAGCUAGUAGGUGUGGUAAGAGCGCACCUAGGCGACGAUCAGUAGCUGGUCUGAGAGGAUGAUCAGCCACACUGGGACUGAGACACGGCCCAGACUCCUACGGGAGGCAGCAGUGGGGAAUUUUCCGCAAUGGGCGAAAGCCUGACGGAGCAAUACCGCGUGAGGGAGGAAGGCUCUUGGGUUGUAAACCUCUUUUCUCAGGGAAGAAAAAAAUGACGGUACCUGAGGAAUAAGCAUCGGCUAACUCCGUGCCAGCAGCCGCGGUAAUACGGAGGAUGCAAGCGUUAUCCGGAAUGAUUGGGCGUAAAGCGUCCGCAGGUGGCAAUGUAAGUCUGCUGUUAAAGAGUGAGGCUCAACCUCAUAAGAGCAGUGGAAACUACAUAGCUAGAGUGCGUUCGGGGCAGAGGGAAUUCCUGGUGUAGCGGUGAAAUGCGUAGAGAC
rnacentral:rRNA from 1 species